rnacentral:rRNA from 1 species
AACGUAGGACGCAAGCGUUAUCCGGAAUUACUGGGCGUAAAGCGCGUGUAGGUGGUUGCAUAAGUCACUGUUGAAAGCUCCUGGCUAAACUGGGAGAGGUGCGGUGAGACUGUGCGGCUAGAGUAUGGGAGAGGGAUGCGAGAAUUCCGGGUGUAGUGGUGAAAUGCGUAGAGAUCCGGAGGAAUACCAGAGGCGAAGGCGGCAUCCUGGCCUGUGACUGACACUGAGGAGCGAAAGCGUGGGGAGCGAACAGG